UCUUGAACCAUUGAUCUUCAAUUUUCUUAAAUUUCAUUCUUUUUAUUGAUUUCAAAUUAUAAGUAUCAUAAUGCUGAAGUUUUUGGAUAGACUCUCCUUCUAAAUUAACUUCAAAAUCUUGAAAAACUAGAGUUAGAAGCAUUCCAUAUGGCACAGCUAACUUUUCCCUUUGAGAGGCUUCUUGCAUUACCUUUAAGAUCAAAGCUGAAAGAUUGAAUUUUUUCCUCCUUAAAGUGUGAUACAUAAUAGCAACAUCAUUCAUGGUCAAAAAGUCAAACCUUCCAAGCC
rnacentral:lncRNA from 1 species